UUUUUUUUCUGUCUAUGGUAGAAAUAUAUGCACUUGUAAUAAUAUAUUCAAACAUUAGUUUUGCCAUGAAAAAAUGAGUCCCAUUAAAUUGCUUUACAUAUGUACUCUGCAAAUACUGUAUGUAUUACACACCUACACAGAUAUAGUACACAGAGUUGCAUAUACAACCUCCAUGUAUAGAGUAUCUCAGGGGCAAUUUGGAGAAUUUUAAAGGGUGAUUUUGCCUAUGCUCAACUUUUACCUUGCUCACUCUCAUUAGAACCUCAUGAUCUCUGGCAACUGGCUUCCUUACUGAAUUCAUGUAUUAGUUUUAAUAGCAUUUCAAUUGAUUCUCUUAGUCUUUCCAGGUAGACAAUCACAUCAACAGGAAAUAAAAAGAAUUUUGUCUCCUUUUCAUUAUUUAUACAUGUGGUUUCCUCAUCUCGUUUUAUUGCAGUUGCUAGAAUUUUCAGGACAAUAUUAAGUAUUAGUGGUGAAAGGAAUGUCCUUGUCUAAUUUCAGAUCUGAAUAGAAAUAGAAUGUUUCACUUCCUAUUGAGAAGGUGUGUGUGUGGGAAAGUGUUUGGGGAAUGCAUACAGUUUAUCCAAAGGCAAUUAAAUAAAAUAAUAUCUUUAAAAAGGCAGAAAGUAUGCAUAAACUGCUUCUUUCUAUGCUUCUAUGUCCAUUUAGUCUUCACAGAGCAGUAUGAGAUCAGUUUUACUAUUUCCCCAUUUUAUACAUGAGAAUGCAAAGAUCCACAAAGGCUAAGUGAUUUGCCUCAUCGAGGUGCUAAAAGCGUGUGCUAUGGAGCUGGAAUCGGAAACUCUAGGCCAUUGCUAUUCGAUAGAAAUGUAAUGUAAGCCAUAUAUGCUAUUUAAAAUUCUGGAAAAAAAAUAAAUAAAAUUCUCUGGUAGUGGGGCUCCUGGGUUGGUUUGGUCAGUUCAGUGUCCUCUUCUUGGUUUCAGCUCAGGUCACGAGCUCAGGGUCCGGUGAUCGAGCCCCACCUUGGGCUCGACUCCUCCUCAGGCCUAGGCCCCAUGCUACGCAGGGAGUCUACUUGAGACUUUUUCUCCUUUUCCCUCUGCCCUCCCCCCUGUGCUCUUUCUCUCAAGUAAAUAAAUAAAUCUUUAGAAAGAAUUCUUUAGUAGCUACAUUUAAAAGUAAAAACAAAAAUGUGAAAUAAAAUUUAAUAAUAUACUUUAUUGAGCACAACGCUCAAUAAAUAAAUAAAUCAAUAAGACUAUUAUCUUAACGUGUAAUCAAUAUAAAAAUUAAUCAGAUGUUUUACAUUUCUAUUUUCAUGCUGGAUAUUUAAAUCCAAUAUGUCUUUUACAUUUACAGCAUACCUUACUCUGCACCAGCCACAUUUCGAAUACACAAGUACAUUUCAAGUACUUAACAGCCACCUAGGCUAGUGGUUGCCUCAUUGGACAGCCCGGUUCUAGACCAGUGGUUCUCAAGAUGUGGUAUCCAGACCAGUUGCAUCAGCAUCACCAGGAAACUGUGAGAAGUACAGAUCCUCAGGCCCCAUUCCAAACCUACUGAAUCAGACCCUCUGGGAGUGGGAAACACCAGUCUGUAUUUUAACAAGUCCCUUCUGGUAAUUCUGAAAGAUGCUAAGGUUUGAGAAUCAUUGUUCUAGACAAUUGCCUCUCCUGUCGCAAUUCAAAUCUAGGACAGAGGCUAGUACUAAGGAAGAGGAGCCCCUUCUCUCGAGAUCAACAAUUUUUGGCUAGAUGACGUUGGCAUUCUCUUGUAAUGGAAACCUUUUAUGCGUUGUUGUGGUUCCAUUUCUUGGGACCGUGGAACGAAUUCCCAGACACAUAAUUUGAAUAUGGCAUCAUUUAUCACUUUAAGGAGGAAACAACACCCCGCAGUAAUCACCCUAUACUAUCCCCUGGAGUUUAGUUACUAAGUUCUCUUGCCCUCAGUUUCUUCAUCCAUAAGAUGGAGAUCCAUUAAUAAUGUUGGUAAUUUUUUUUGAAAGUUUUCAUUUAUUUUUUUUAGUAAUCUCUACACCCAACAUUGCGCUCGGACUCAGGACCCCCAGAUCAAGAGUCACAUACUCUUCUGACUGAGCCACCCAGGCACGGGGGCAAUGUUUUUCAAAGUACUGUGUACAAAAAAAAGUCAGCAAAAGUGACUGAUAUUUUUAAAUUCUGGUUAAAAAACUAGUGGGCAGGAAAGGUAAUAUAGAUUUUGAGCAUAGAAUCAGAAGCUAAUUCACUUCUAUUUCUCAGAACAUUAGAUUUGCUGAGGGGGAAGGGUAGGGUUCUUGCCAAAAGCACUAAGGAGAAUGACUCUGAGCAUGCCUUAAAGGAGAAUUUUCAGUAAACAGGAAUUACCUAUAAAGAAAAUCAGGAAGCCAACGUGUUUCUUUUUAUGAAGUUACAUCCUGCCAUAGAAAAGCUGGAUAGGAAAUAAAGACUGAUGCACUCCGAACUGUAUACUUAACCGGCUAUUAGUUCAUCAAGGAAAAUCUGAGCAAAAGCUGAGAUUUGGUGAAGGGGAGGGGGGGAACCAUGAGUAGCGAAAUGUCACGAGAAACCAAAGACAACCAACAGCUACAAUUAUACAUGGUUUUGGGGGGAAAAAAACUAUACAAACAAAUCUCUACUCUGUGAUUUCAGAUUCCUAAGUCGCCACCUGCCCUCUCCACCCCUCCCCCUAUUUCAAUACUACUUCUUCCAGGCUUUUGCUUGAAAAUAAAUGUGUGCGUCCACGGAAAUGCAAGAGUAAUAGAUUAAUCUUAAUCUCCUCCUUCUCUUUAUUAUUAUUGAUAUUAACUGUGCGUUUCCAGGGUUCUCCGGGUCUUUCGGAGUUCCUGGGAUUGGAUCUUACCUUGCUCCACACUCCCCAGUGUGAUGAGCGGCAACAUCCUCACCACCUAACCCUUUCCCA
rnacentral:lncRNA from 1 species